rnacentral:lncRNA from 1 species
UGUUUGGAAGCAAGAUAUACAUGAAGAGGGCUGAUAUACAUGCUGAUAUACACUGAUAUACAUCAGUUGUAUACCAAAAACGGGAUUGAAUAAAUCUCCAGAAAUUACAGCGAAAAUGGCCCAAAAAAGGAGGCCCAAAUUCAAUUUCUAACUUGUUUAAUUGUGUGAUUAUUUAUUUAUUUGUUUUCUUUUAAAUUGCGACUUAAUUUAAUUAAAUUCCCCAAAAGAUAAACCGUAUUCUUUGUGUUUAGUUUUCUUUAAAAAAUAAUUCAUUUUAUCAACUCCUAUGCUCAUUCAAAUAUUUUAGUCAAGAACUUUCACUCAUCUUUUAAUUAGAUUAAAAUAAUGUCUUGGUUUGUCUACCAAGUUGGUUCGAAUUAUUAUUUCUAAAAUAUGACAUAAAUAAAAUUUUUAAUUAAUCUAGUUUUUGUUAAAAUCCUAAUUGACCAAGUUGUUUCAAUUAAGGUUCCAUUUUCUUAAAAAAUAAAAAAAUUGCUAUUUAUUUAACUAUUUUCUCAAAUUUAUCUAAUAGUACAAAAUAUAUUUUAUAACUCUUUACUUGGUCAUUUUUCUCGAAAAAAAAGGAUUAGUCAAAACUUUGCUUUCAUUCUUCAAUUAAUUAAAAAAUGAUUUUCAUGCUUAAUUUUAUUGGCUUAAAUUAUUUAUUUCGAAAAUGGAUUAAAGAAAUUCUAAUUAAUCUAGUUUUACUAAUAUUCUAAUCAUUUGUAUUUCGACUCAAAUCUUUUAUUUUGGAUACCUUUCUCAAAAAAAAAAUAAAAGCAUGUCAUUUACUUAAUUAUUUUUCUCAAAGUUAAUAAAAUAUGGUAAUUUACUAUUCUUAUGCUAAGUCAUUUUUAUUCUUUAUUUUCUAAAAAUAGUCAAAUAUAUUUUAGUCAAGUCGCAGGUCAACCGCAUGUUAGCGGACACUUCGAAUGCUUAAACCCUUCUCGAAGUGUAAAUUGAACCCCGAACCCCCUUUGGUAUUUUCAAAUGAUUUUUUCUGUUUAAAUCUUUGAAAAAUUAUAAGUUUUCUUAAUUUCUUUAAAAAAUUAAGUGGCGACUCUUUCUAAGUAUUUCUCAAAAUUGUUUUAUACUUAGAACAUUUCAAAAAAGUGAUUUUUCUGAAUACAGUCAAAUUACGGCACGACAA